AACGAACGCUGGCGGCAUGCCUAAUACAUGCAAGUCGAACGAGACCUUCGGGACUAUUGGCGCACGGGUGCGUAACGCGUGGGAACCUGCCCUUAGGUUCGGAAUAACUCCCCGAAAGGGGUGCUAAUACCGAAUCAUGUCUUCGAACCAAAGAUUUAUCGCCCUUGGAUGGGCCCGCGUUGGAUUAGCUAGUUGGUAGGGUUAAAGCCUACCAAGGCGACGAUCCAUAGCUGGUCUGAGAGGAUGAUCAGCCACACUGGGACUGAGACACGGCCCAGACUCCUACGGGAGGCAGCAGUGGGGAAUAUUGGACAAUGGGCGAAAGCCUGAUCCAGCAAUGCCGCGUGAGUGAUGAAGGCCUUAGGGUUGUAAAGCUCUUUUACCCGGGAUGAUAAUGACAGUACCGGGAGAAUAAGCUCCGGCUAACUCCGUG
rnacentral:rRNA from 1 species